rnacentral:lncRNA from 1 species
CAUUGACAUUCUGUGCGUUUUAGUUUAUACUUCUGCCAAGUGUGAGGGAAAGAUACGAGUAGUCACUUCGUAUCUUAACUCUUAGUUUAUCGUCUUGUUCGUUUGCUCUUACUGAACGAGGGCGUUCAGAAACGUUUAGGAGUUUCGCGAAUUUUCGUGAGCGUAUUAGAUAUAGACGAUGGGACAUUUUGUUAAGAUCUCGUAUCAUGUCUUGAGAUGUUAAUGGACCAGUAGGACUGGGUUUAAGGCAAGACCUAGGUUUACUUUCGGCUCUAA